UAUCUCUGUAGAGUCUGCAUAUCAAUAAGCGGAGGAAAAGAAACUAACAAGGAUUCCCCUAGUAACGGCGAGUGAAGCGGGAAGAGCUCAAAUUUGAAAUCUUCAAGGUUUGACCUUGACGAAUUGUAGUUUAAAGAAGUGUUUUCGGUUAGAGGAGUAGUAAAAGUUCUUUGGAAUAGGACAUCAUAGAGGGUGAGAAUCCCGUAUUUGACUAUUCUUUCUAGCUUUGUGAUACACUUUCAAAGAGUCGGAUUGUUUGGGAAUGCAGUCCAAAAUGGGUGGUAAAUUUCAUCUAAAGCUAAAUAUUGGCGAGAGACCGAUAGCGAACAAGUACCGUGAGGGAAAGAUGAAAAGAACUUUGAAAAGAGAGUUAAACAGUACGUGAAAUUGUCAAAAGGGAAGCGUUUGACACCAGUGUUGUUUUUCUGAAAAUCAAUUAAAAAUUGACUUCAUGCCAGGUUGUAUUGACCUUAUCAGCUUGCAAUUUGGUUUUGGGUCUCUUUUUGAUGCACUUUUCGGUUAACAAGUCAACAUCAAUUUCCUUUGCUGUAAAAAGGUAAGAGGAAGGUGGCUUCAAUUUCGGUUGAAGUGUUUAUAGCCUUUUAUCUCUGCAGUCGGGGAGAUUGAGGUCUGCAGCGUAGAUCCUUCGGGGCUAGAUACAUUUAUGCUAAGUUAUAGCUUUUCAUAGACAACUUGUUGACUAUGUUUAGUCAUGUAGCUUACUCGUAAGUGCUAUUUUACCUACGCUUAGGAUGUUGAAGACUCUACAGAGAUA
rnacentral:rRNA from 1 species